rnacentral:lncRNA from 1 species
UGAAUAAAUGGACAGGGCUACGGCUUCAAUUAAAUUAUAGGGAAAGAAAAAGCAACGAGCUUUUAUUCUUAAUUUGAAUGAUUCUCGAUCUAAUUAAAUGUUAAGAAUUUAUUAGUGCCUGAUGCGGGAAGGGUUUCUUGUCCCAUGAGUGAGUUCUCUAUUUUUUUAAUGAAUCCUAACUAUUAUCAUUUUCGAUUAUGGAGAUGUGUGUAGAAGAAACAGUAUAUUGAUAAAGAAAGUUUUUCCCGAAGUCAAAAGAGCGAUUCAGUUGAAAAAAUAAAGGAUUUCUAACCAUCUGAUUAUCCUAUAACACU